UCGUCAUACGUAGGGUUGUGUUUAGUUAGCUUUAUUAGGGGACGGUGCGGCCUCUCCUCACCCACCACGGAAGGGGGAGGGGAGAGAGAGAGUGAGGGCGCUGUGUUGGGUGUUAGGGGAAGACGAUGAUUUGGUUACCUCACCGCGCGGUCUCUAAUUCGCUUGGUGCAGGUCGGGAACCGGUUCUGCUUCAACUACUUUGCCGGAUGGCGCGUAAUGGACGGUUCCCUUCCCGGCGUUGAAUCGGAUCCCGCCUUGCAUCAACUGAAUCGGAGACCGCGGUGAAGCUUUGCAUGGAUCUCGGUUUUUCUGGCGAUUAUUGCUCAGAUCUCAGGUGUGGUGCAGACCUUACAAAUAUUUGCAGUCUAGUAAGUCCGCAAGAAUUAUUUAUGGAUGCCAUUUGAAGUAGCAUCUAACUCAAAUCUUAAGCUCCGUGAAAUUGGGGAACUCCUAUGCAUUUGAAGUGUGAAGAUUAAAUGUUCUGAUAAUCAACAUUGGAGUCAAUUUAUCAGUCCAACAAAUUUCAAGAUGAAAACUGCUGUUGUUUGGGUUUGAACUAGCCAUUAUUAUGUACGGAGGAAAUUAUGAUGUUCGCUUACCCGCUUCCUUGACUCCAUAAUUGCAUUUCGACUGCCCGUCGGUGGUAAGAUAGCAUUAGUUUCGGUCUUUAAGGGCCUACCUGAAAAGAAAGAUUCUUAUUGACCAAAAAGAAAAGAAAAGAUACUUGAUAAUUUUUAGGGGACUGUAGAAUUUUUUUUUUUCCUGUUCUAAAUCCAUAUCAUGUGGUUCCCGCUCGUACCCCGGAUUUUGGUUUUAGGGUGAGUUUUAUAGCACUUUUUGUUCUCAGGUUUUAAACAGAUAUUUUAACUUCAAUGGAUUUUCUCAUACGCAAUCAAUUAAGAAAUGUUAAGAUUCUACUUACAAGAAAUUGAGGAAUGAAAUAAAUUCUGAUCGAACAGGUAAAGCGCGGGUUUAAUGAAUAACAUGCGCGAUAUGCCUGAUGCAUCUAUAUUUGAUUGAGCGACACGUUGAUGUGAUGAUGGAAUGAGCUUUGAAGAUUCUUUUCAUUCGUCUUUUUUUUUUUUUUGGAAAGAUUCUUUUCAUUUGUUAAUAUUGAUUAGGUUGCUUGAUGCGCCCCCCCCCCUCUCGGCUCUUGGAGGCAAAAACAUUAAAAAAACAAAGAAAGGAAACAGAGAAAAGUAACCCGCAAAGGAGACGCAUUUCUUAGAUGGUUCACUCACCCAUUUUGAUCUCGGGUUUUUGGGGGGCUUAAUCUACUCAUUUGGAUUUUUACUCCAUGGGAUUUAGAUAAUUAUAUCUUUUUAAUUACGAGUUGGAAAAAUGUUUGUGAGAGAGAGAGAGAGAGAGAGAGAGAGAGAGAGCAUAUUUCAUACACAGGGUCUUUUCUCAUGUCCUUUUUCCUAUUAAAAGGUAUUCAAAUUGAUUGGCCAAAUUUAACUUGGAUCCUGGUUAUUACUCAAAUAAAUUACUUGGGAAUCAAAAUUGAGUUUUGCUUUCUCUGUUAAAAAUCGUUUAUAAUUUUAUGUUAUUUUGAAAUUUUAAGACAACAUUAAUCGCUAGAAUAAAUGAAGUAUAUUAAGAAAAAUGAAAAUAGACAAAGAAGGAAAGAGUGGUAUGGUUGAAUCUAAAAGAUUAAUCCAAUUAAAGUCCUAAAACAAUUAUUUGCAACUAAUGCACUCUUAUGUACAUGGUAGAGUAUAAAUUUCAACUAUCUCUCCACAACUUCCACUCCAACCCUGUCUUUUUCGGCUUUUCAAAACCCAGCGUAUUAGAAGGAAAACCCAGGAUUCACGUGGUUGGAAAUGGCCACAUAUUUCAUUUCAUUGUGCCUUUGUCAUGCCUUCCAGGUUAGGUUAGGUCCCGAAUUUUCUUAUUUUAAUAGAUUUGAUUUAACGUAUCAAGGGGAAUGGGGGGGAUCACAGCUAUGAUGUCAACUCAAAUAUUCACGAGUUUCUCGAUUAUCCACGUGGUUUGACGUUGGAUUUUCGGCCAAGAAACACGCCUUUGCCUCUUGCUUUUUGACAAUAAGCUCCUUACCACAUGGCUUAUGUUCUGCCUAAAAUUAUUAGGAUUAAAAGUCCAUUUUUUACUCCUAAAUCAUUUCGUGAGUAAUGAUUGUCAUAAGCCAUUUUAUAUAUCGGGGCAAUAUCAUUCUUUAAUUGUCAAGAUCAUUGCAAAUAUUGUUGUUUGACUAACGGUCGACGUUUAUUGUUAAUUUCAGAGUGAUUUGGAUUAAAAAACAUUUUUAUUUCAAAAGUGUUCAGAGAAGUAAUUUUGAUACCUUCGUGUUUUUUUUUUCAAUCAAAACAUUUGACAAAAUCUCUCGGAUAUCAUAUGGCUUGUUAAUUAAGUAUUUAUUUAUUUUUUUAAAAAAAAGUCUAUCAACUCAGGCUAACGAUUGGUUAGCAGUGUUGUCCCAAGUUAUAUAUACAUAUCUUGACUUGUUUACUUGGUAACCAUCAAUUAAAAAAAAUCUCUCAGCUUGCACUAAUGGUCAAUGUCAACACAUAAACAUAAUGCACAUGUUUUGGUCAAAAGAAAACAAGAUGAAGAAAUAGAUGUCAUUAGGCUUGUCAACUAAACAUUCAUCAAUAACAAAAUGCUCGCAAGCCCACGUAACUGUUAACUAUGUUGUCACGUUUUAUAUAUGCCUACCCUAUCUAGUUAUAGGAUCGACAUGAUUUGGGUUAUAUAGUUAUUUGAUUGGAUCUUAAUUAAGCAUUGUCAUGUUUAAUUAAAGGUCAUUCUUCAAAAAAAUAAAAAUAAAAAAAUUUGCACUCAUACGUGCUUUAACUUGAUGUCGUACUUCAGUGGUAGCACUUUCCCCGAGGACAAAAUUUCAAAGCAGACGUAAUUUGAUUAAAACGGACCAAAACCUAAACUUAUGACGGUGCUAUUAGUUGAUCAUGAGUAUAGAUUGACGAUAAAUUUUUUUAAUUGAUGAACAUUCAGUCUAAAUAUGAUGCAAACAUAUUGCAGCUAAAAAAAAAAAAGUGUCCGUUGCUCUAUAUUAUUGAACUUCAGGAUGUCAAAUACUUUUUCAUGAAUAAUUUACUAAAGGCAAUAAUCAUUUUUAACUCAAAAUCUAUUUGGAAUUAACUAUUAUCGUCAGUGUUGGGGCGUCAAACGAUAACCUUGCAAUAAUUGUGGCACCUGAAAAAUAAUAUUGCUCUGAUAGAUAAUUUGGGAUACUCGCGAAAUAGUCUGGGGAUGCAAAAAUAUCAAACAACCCAAAUUAUUACUACGUCCCUCGACAAUAACUGCUUUGGUUACAGAGUCCAGUAUUUGAAACUGAUCCUUUUUCUUUUGACUAAUGAUCAAGUUAACUGUAAGUAGUCAAUUGGGAUGAUGAUGGCAGGCAUGAACAAUGAGCGAUAUUAUUGAAUUUACUUACAUGUGAAAAUCCUAGUCGACUUCAACCACUGUUGAAGUUUGUCAGAUUUGCGGAAACGUGUUGAGCGCACUGGAAUGUCAAUCUGCAAAUGUGGAAAUUCCUUAUUGCUUACCAGCAACAGAGAAUUUCAUAAUUUAUGGGAAAGUGGGAAGGUAUUGAAACAAAAAGUUCUGACGAACAGUGCUAUAUAUGUUUUUCUAUGCCGGAAACACAUUGU